GUCCACGCCUUAACGAUGGAUGCUCGGUGUCGGCUCGCAAGGGUCGGUGCCUGAGCUAACGCGUUAAGCAUCCCACCUGGGAGUACGAUCGCAAGGUUGAAACUCAAAGGAAUUGACGGGGCCCGCACAAGCAGUGGAGCAUGUGGUUCAAUUCGAUGCAACGCGAAGAACCUUACCUGGGUUUGAAAGGCUCUGUAAACCGGUGAAAGCCGGCUAGUGUAGCAAUACACGCGGAGUACAGGUGCUGCAUGGCUGUCGU
rnacentral:rRNA from 1 species